rnacentral:tRNA from 1 species
AAACUUAGGCUAACGCA